GUGGGGAAUAUUGGACAAUGGGCGCAAGCCUGAUCCAGCCAUGCCGCGUGAGUGAUGAAGGCCUUAGGGUUGUAAAGCUCUUUUGUCCGGGAAGAUAAUGACUGUACCGGAAGAAUAAGCCCCGGCUAACUUCGUGCCAGCAGCCGCGGUAAUACGAAGGGGGCUAGCGUUGUUCGGAAUCACUGGGCGUAAAGCGCACGUAGGCGGACCAUUAAGUCAGGGGUGAAAGCCUGGAGCUCAACUCCAGAACUGCCUUUGAUACUGAUGGUCUCGAGUAUGGAAGAGGUUGGUGGAACUGCGAGUGUAGAGGUGAAAUUCGUAGAUAUUCGCAAGAACACCGGUGGCGAAGGCGGCCAACUGGUCCAUUACUGACGCUGAGGUGCGAAAGCGUGGGGAGCAAACAGGAUUAGAUACCCGUGUAGUCC
rnacentral:rRNA from 1 species